rnacentral:rRNA from 1 species
UACGUAGGGGGCAAGCGUUGUCCGGAAUCAUUGGGCGUAAAGCGCGUGUAGGCGGCCCGGUAAGUCCGCUGUGAAAGUCCAGGGCUCAACCCUGGAAUGCCGGUGGAUACUGUCGGGCUCGAAUCCGGAAGAGGUGAGUGGAAUUCCUGGUGUAGCGGUGAAAUGCGCAGAUAUCAGGAGGAACACCAAGGGCGAAGGCAGCUCACUGGGACGGUAUUGACGCUGAGACGCGAAAGCGUGGGGAGCAAACAGG